UGGGAUAUUAGCUCAGUUGGUAGAGCACUUGACUUUUAAUCAAGUUGUCCGGGGUUCGAAUCCCCGAUGCCUCAG
rnacentral:tRNA from 1 species